UNGGAGCCUGUGGGUGCCAUUAUCAUGCA
rnacentral:piRNA from 1 species